rnacentral:rRNA from 1 species
CCUACGGGAGGCAGCAGUGGGGGAUAUUGCACAAUGGGGGGAACCCUGAUGCAGCGACGCCGCGUGGGUGAAGGAGUGCUUCGGCAUGUAAAGCCCUAUCGGCAGGGAAGAAGCAAGACGGUACCUGACUAAGAAGCCCCGGCUAACUACGUGCCAGCAGCCGCGGUAAUACGUAGGGGGCGAGCGUUAUCCGGAUUCACUGGGUGGAAAGGGAGCGUAGACGGCCAUGCAAGCCAGGGGGGAAAGCCCGGGGCCCAACCCCGGGACUGCCCGUGGAACUGCAUGGCUGGAGUGCGGGAGGGGCAGGCGGAAUUCCUGGUGUAGCGGUGAAAUGCGUAGAUAUCAGGAGGAACACCGGCGGCGAAGGCGGCCUGCUGGACCGCGACUGACGUUGAGGCUCGAAAGCGUGGGGAGCGAACAGGAUUAGAUACCCUUGUAGUC